UCCGUAGGUGAACCUGCGGAAGGAUCAUUAACAAAACAUAAUAACACACUGUGCACAACAAUACUAAGAGUAAGAGCAAAAGGUGAUAUUGUAAUUGAUACAACUUUUAACAAUGGAUCUCUUGGCUCUCGCAACGAUGAAGAACGCAGCAAACUGCGAAAAGUAGUGUGAAUUGCAGAUACCGUGAAUCAUCGAAUUUUUGAACGCAUAUUGCACUGUCUGGAAUUCCGGGCAGUAUGUCUGUUUGAGCAUCAGUAAACCCAUCUCAACACCCUUGUGGUGUCGGGGAGUUGGGCUGAUAUCGGCGUAUGCCGGUGCAGCCUGAAAUGCAGUUACCGCGAGCUAGCUUAGCGUACAGAGUCAUGCCUUUGGCAGUUUCUGUUCAGCGGCUGGCGUAUUCGCCGGUAAGCGUUUGUCGGUUCGCCGCGCAGACAACUGCGUACCUCUGGUACCACUCCAUUGAUCUCAAAUCAGGCAAGGCUACCCGCUGAACUUAAGCAUAUUAAUAAGCGGAGGAAAAGAAACUAACCAGGAUUCCCCUAGUAACGGCGAGCGAAGAGGGAACAGCUCAAAUUUGUAAUCUCUUCGGAGAGUUGUAAUUUGUAGAAGUGUUUUCGCCGGCCGUCUGGUCAUAAGUCCCUUGGAACGGGGCGUCAUAGAGGGUGAUAAUCCCGUCUGUGGUCCAGUCGCGGUCGCAUUGUGAUACACUUUCAAAGAGUCGGGUUGUUUGGGAUUGCAGCCCUAAAUUGGUGGUAUAUUUCAUCUAAGGCUAAAUACAGGCAAGAGACCGAUAGCGAACAAGUACCGUGAGGGAAAGAUGAAAAGAACUUUGAAAAGAGAGUUAAACAGUACGUGAAAUUGCUAAAAGGGAAACGCUUGAAGU
rnacentral:rRNA from 1 species